UCCAAAGCUUCUAGAUGAUCCUCCAAUGGAUCUGGAAUACACAAAAAUUGCAGAACAAGUGGCUUAAAGGAAGAAAGGAACCAGGAAAUACAGAAGCAUCCUGCCCAACAUUGUCCUACUUUUGCAAAGGCAGCAAUCAAGACCUGAUGCUCCAAAAGUUACUCAAGGAGAGUAUGGUAUUUCCAGGGACUGAAACUUUGUCUCUAGCACACUGCAGAUAUGAAGGUGAACAUGCCCUCAAGGAGGUGAAAGCCUAGAAAACUCAGAAAGAGUGAUAAGAGCCUGAGAAGCCAAGAGAGAAUACUGCCGUGAAACUGUCUUGAACCUGGGAUACGUAUAGGACCAGAGAUAUAUCUUGGAAGGUGUACAGGGCAUGACCACCAAGUGGAGUCCUGCCAAGGUUCUCCAUCCUGAAAGCUUCAGAACAGCCCAGGGCAAGAACCAAAGCACAGACAGGCUGGGAAGCACUCUGUGAUUCCACCUGCACAACACCUGUCAAAGCUCACAUGAACUAUUUGCCACCACACAAGUAAAUGAAGAAGUGAGUCUAAGAUGAUUUUGAACUAUUGCACAAGAGAUAUUGAGCCACUCUUGCUUCUCUUAUAUCCAUCACAGCACUUCUUUCAUGUACUGGCCAAUCACAAUUUCUGCAAGAGGAUUAGCGGAACAAUGUGAAAUCCCCACUGCUCAUCUGCUCCUGGUGCCAGUAUUGGGAUAGUCAUCACAUACAACCUGAUCUAGAUUCCCUCACCCUUGACAGCCCUUCAGC